GACGAACGCUGGCGGCGUGCUUAACACAUGCAAGUCGAGCGGUAAGGCCCUUUCGGGGGUACACGAGCGGCGAACGGGUUGAGUAACACGUGGGUGACCUGCCCUCAGCUCUGGGAUAAGCCUGGGAAACCGGGUCUAAUACUGGAUAUGACUCCAUGACGCAUGUUGUGGGGUGGAAAGCCUUGUGCGGCUGAGGAUGGGCCCGCGGCCUAUCAGCUUGUUGGUGGGGUGANGGCCUACCAAGGCGACGACGGGUAGCCGGCCUGAGAGGGCGACCGGCCACACUGGGACUGAGACACGGCCCAGACUCCUACGGGAGGCAGCAGUGGGGAAUCUUGCGCAAUGGGCGAAAGCCUGACGCAGCGACGCCGCGUGAGGGAUGACGGCCUCGGUGUAA
rnacentral:rRNA from 1 species